CCUACGGGAGGCAGCAGUGGGGAAUAUUGGACAAUGGGGGCAACCCUGAUCCAGCCAUGCCGCGUGUGUGAAGAAGGCCCUCGGGUUGUAAAGCACUUUCAGUGAGGAAGAACGCCUGGUGGUUAAUACCCAUCAGGAAAGACAUCACUCACAGAAGAAGCACCGGCUAACUCCGUGCCAGCAGCCGCGGUAAUACGGAGGGUGCGAGCGUUAAUCGGAAUUACUGGGCGUAAAGCGCGCGUAGGUGGCUUGAUAAGCCGGUUGUGAAAGCCCCGGGCUCAACCUGGGAACGGCAUCCGGAACUAUCAAGCUAGAGUGCAGGAGAGGAAGGUAGAAUUCCCGGUGUAGCGGUGAAAUGCGUAGAGAUCGGGAGGAAUACCAGUGGCGAAGGCGGCCUUCUGGACUGACACUGACACUGAGGUGCGAAAGCGUGGGUAGCAAACAGGAUUAGAUACCCUGGUAGUC
rnacentral:rRNA from 1 species